ACUACUUGGCAUAGAACAAAUCAGCUCUUUAUUACAAAUGACAGAAAUACAAGGUUCCGAUAUCACAAUGAAUUACAUCGGCAUGGCAACACUAUGCCUUCUUAGGUAGCUCUAUGCUUAUAGAAAAACAAAUCAAAGCAACGGAAUAACUUCUAGCAAGGGAACAACGACGACACUGGUGAAAUCAACUCUACAAGGACUCUGGCUGGAAUGCUUAUCCUUGAUCACCAACUCGUCAGGCAAUCAAUCAUGGCAUGACCUGCAAACUGGCAUGACACACGAGGUGAGUACUUUGAAUCUACUCACGAGCUCACAACGACCAACGCAAUCAAGACCAACAACAAUAUGGCAUUUACAAGUUGAAGAUUAAUGACGAGCAUGAUACACCUAGAGCAACACGGCAUAUACAUGGUGAAAAAAAAUACCGCUAGAACAACAUCUGAUGAGCAUGGCAUGAACAUGUUACUCAAGCCAUGAACAAAGAUGAUACUAGCAUGCACCAUGGUUAAACUUAUAUAUCAACUUACUCUGAUCGGGGUUAUCUCGUAACCACCACAUGUAUCCAAAAUAUUAACUAACCUCGGUAUCCAUGAUACUACUUUAAUCUUCUGAUGAUCAAAUAAAGAUCAACCAACUUCUUUCUCAUCAAACAAGGGUUGUUUAUUAAGUAUAUUAUUAUUAUUGUUAACUCAUAGUGUGACCUACUACAAACUGGGCCCAUAUCCGUGGGUGUGGCUAUUGAUAGAUUAUACAUACUCUGUAGAGGUUGGUACACUGUACCUACACCACAAAACCCAAGGCCUCACGCACCUAUUUGGGUGGACUAGCGGCAUUCCGAGAGAACCAAUAUAUUGCAUGACACUCCCCCGGCCACUUCGACAAACUCCCAUUUGGGCUAAGUCAUGGGUGGCUCCGAUGCCACUCUAGACAUCCAAUGGCCAUCAUCGUGGCAAAACAGAAAUGGUACCAAACGGGUACAAUGGUACCAUAGAAAAACAACGGGCCUUGGACGCCUACCUCAUCAGGGUAGCGCGCACAUAACCUUCCCUAGUUGGAGGAACCAAUGAGAGGCAUGCCAAUCGACUGCAUUAAGGCCUUCCCAUACAGGCAAGUGUGGAUGCACUGGUCAGCUCGACUCGAUGGCACUAUGACUCAGCCAACAUUUGUUCAUGUUCAGUUAAUAUCCGGUUGAACUUGUAAAGUAAUGAGCUAAGUCAUAAUAAAAAUAACAGGAUGAAUAGACAAUUCAUAUGAGCAUGACAUAAGAAUGAACAUGUAUGUGAAGUAUAACAAUUUCACAUGUGAAGCAUUAGCAUCGACAAUAAUAACGAACUUAGUCUAGUGGAUGCACAUGAACAUGAUAGAGUAAUGAUCAUGCAGAUCACAAGUGCUUUUCAUAACUGGCGAUAUUCGUGCAUCGAAGGAACACUACUAUCACGAGCAUGUAAUAAGAACAAGCAUGAGAUAUGAUAAUAAUACUACCAAGUAGCCACGGAACUAACAGGGUGCACAAGCACAAAGCAUGAAGAUGAUCGAUUCCACAAGCAUACAGAAAUACUAGUAGAGCAAACAGUUGUUAAAUAUUGAAGUAGAAAACAAUGGUUACUACAAGAUCACAAUACAAGUGGAUGCCGUGGCUUGCCCGGGGAUAAAGGAUUCACCGGAAGGAAGUGCAAGGAACUCGCGGAACGAUUCGCAAGAAAAUUAUCUCUCGCAAAGGGGGCUUAACAAGGGCAAGGGAAAAAUUGUCAUUUUUAGUAUGUGACAAUAUAGUGAAAAUAGUACCAAAGGAACGAACUUGAUGAGACGAAAAUGUGGGCUUUGGAAUUACCUCAAUCGGAGUUACUAUUAAAAAGAUAUGGUGGUUUGUUUGUUAGGAGAAAAACAAAUAAAAAAUUGUGUUUUUUUGUUGCUAACGGGUGAACACCCACUAUUUAACCACUUCGGCCAACGGACCUGGGUUGAAAACGCCUUUCUUGAAAUACACUUUAAGUUAGAGAAAACACACUCGCGUUCGAGGCUGAAGCAAGAAAAAGCCUUGACCACGGAAAUACGCGCUCGUGCAAAAAUGCCUUCACUUACGGCAACGGGCCAGUCCGGUAAGCGGAC
rnacentral:lncRNA from 1 species